rnacentral:rRNA from 1 species
UCCGGUUGAUCCUGCCGGAGGUCACCGCUAUUAGGAUACGAUUAAGCCAUGCGAGUCUAAGGUUCCUCGGAACCUUGGCGUACCGCUCAGUAAUAUGUGGAUAACCUACCCUCAGGUACGGGAUAACAUCGGGAAACUGAUGAUAAACCCGUAUAGGUCUAAGAUACUGGAAUGUUCUUAGACUGAAAGGCGACGCCUGAGGAUGGGUCUGCACCCUAUCAGGCUGUAGCAAGUGUAACGUACUUGCUAACCAGCGACGGGUACGGGCCAUGGAAGUGGGUGCCCGGAGAUGGGCUCUGAGACACGAGCCCAGGUCCUACGGGACGCAGCAGGCGCGAAAACUCCGCAAUGUGCGCAAGCACGACGGGGCAAUCCUAAGUGUCUAUACUUCGGUAUAGACUGUUCCUCUGUCUAAAAAACAGAGGAAGUAAGGGCUGGGUAAGACGGGUGCCAGCCGCCGCGGUAAUACCUGCAGCCCGAGUGGUGAUCGUUAUUAUUGGGUCUAAAACGUUCGUAGCCGGCCUGGCAAAUUUUUGGGUAAAUUGGGUUGCUUAACAAUCCGAAUUCCGAAAACACUACCAGGCUUGGGAUCGGGAUGGGGUAGAAGUACUUCCGGGGUAGGGGUAAAAUCCUGUAAUCCUGGAAGGACUAUCAGUGGCGUAGGCGUCUACCUGGAACGGUUCCGACGGUGAGGAACGAAGCCUUGGGGCGCAAACGGGAUUAGAUACCCCGGUAGUCCUAGGUGUAAACGCUGUGGGCUUUGUGUCGGGAUUCUCUCGGAGAAUCCCGGUGCCGGAGAGAAGUUGUUAAGCCCACUACCUGGGGAGUACGGCCGCAAGACCGAAACUUAAAGGAAUUGGCGGGGGAGCACCGCAACGGGUGGAGCGUGCGGUUUAAUUGGAUACAACGCCGGAAAGCUCACUGGGGGCGACGGUUAUAUGAAGGCCAAGCUGAUGACUUUGCCUGAUUUUCCGAGAGGUGGUGCAUGGCCGUCGUCAGUUCGUACCGUGAGGCUUUCUGCUAAGUCAGAUAACGAACGAGACCCUCAUCCUCAGUUACUAAUGUUUCCUCCGGGAAACAAGCACUCUGAGGAGACCGCCAGCGCUAAGCUGGAGGAAGGAGAGGGCGACGGUAGGUCAGUAUGCCCCGAAUCCCCCAGGCUACACGCGCGCUACAAAGGCCGGGACAAUGGGAUACAACCCCGAAAGGGGAAGUAAAUCUCGAAACCCGGUUAUAGUCCGGAUUGAGGGUUGAAACCUACCCUCAUGAAGCUGGAAUCCGUAGUAAUCGCCUGUCAACAUCAGGCGGUGAAUAUGCCCCUGCUCCUUGCACACACCGCCCGUCAAACCAACCGAAUUGGGUCUGAGUGAGGGUAUGGCUUAUUGCUAUGCACGAACUCAGGUUCAGUGAGGGGGGUUAAGUCGUAACAAGGUAGCCG